UUCACCAUAUUCUUAAUUUACGUUUCGUUUGCAGAUCGCUGCGGGGAUAAAGGACAGCUAAAUUGAUUACGGAUCAAGUAGCGUUUUAAUAGCACGAAGAAAUAAUAAUAAACGAAAGAACAAAGGAUAUAGAAGCCGGAGCGAUAAUCAAAGAUGACGGUGGAUCGAGAGAGAAAGAUUAUUAUUGCAGUACAUUUCAAUGUACAUAUCAUGUGCAAGUGUAACCUGAUAGAGAUUCGAUAACUUGUGAAGAGGUAAAGAAAAAAAAGUGAUAAUUUAAGAGAAGGAGGAGGCUUAGGAGAUGCAUCGCGCGCCGAGCAACUUUGCGAAUCAUUGUAAACUACAUGGCCGAUAACUCCAUUCUUGCGCAUUGAUCGGUGAGUGAUAAAACACUUUAUAAAUGAGGUAAUGAAUUUGUGAAAAUUAUGUCAGAUAUACA